CCAAGAACCCUCCUUCUCCUUUCUGCCUCCACAUGACGGCGCGUCGGCGCCGACCCUCCCCUCGCCUUGCACCUCCACACGACGGCGCCGCCCCUCCACUUCGCCUCGCCCCUCCACGCAACGGUGCCGCCCCUCCACUACGCCUCGCACCUCCACGCAACGGCGCCGCCCCUCCACUCCGCCUUCGCUGGAUCCGGCGAGCCGCGUGUCCUCCGCCUCCACCUCUUCGCCAUCGUCGUCCAUCGGGGUCGAGUUCGCCACCCGCAGCAUCCACGUCGAGGACAAGGUCAUCAAGGCCCAGAUCUAGGACACCGCCGGCCAGGAAAGAGGUCUUUGUCAGCCCUCCUUAUAUGUUCCUUCCUGUGGUUAAGAGCCAGCUGCGCCCAGAGUUCCAAGUUGCUGCUCAGAACUGCUGGGUGAAGAAGGGAGGUGCUUUCACUGGUGAAGUCAGCUUACAAUGGAAACGAUGCCCUCACCAUCUCGACUAGAAGAUGUUGGGGUCACCUCGAACGGCCCACCAUCUAUCAACAACAAUAUACAAGAAUAUCUCGGAAGCUCUCCACUGAAGAGGCCCAAAGAAACAAGUAAAAAGAUGCAACCAACAGUAAAGCGGGCAAAACCAUCUGCUACUAGAAUCAACAAGAGUCUCCCAGAAGCUCUACACUGAAGAGGCCCAAUGAAACCAGUAAAAGGAAGCAGCCAGCAGCAAAGCGGUUCAAGCCUCCAAUGGCGGAGAAGAUGCCAAGUGUUGAUCGGUCUCCCUUGGUGAGAAGGUCUCCCCUGGUGAGGAGUCCACACUUGAGGUUGGUUGUGUCCCCUGUGGUGAUAGAUCAUAGUCCAAGAAGUUCUUCACCAUCUCCACCACUACUUGUAGAGAGGUCCCCAUCCCCUUCUACAUUACCUGGUCCCUCUUCUGUACAGACUAAACUACGGAGGCUGAAAUCAGAUAUUUGGAGUGAUAUGGACCCUAUCUAUCAUGGUAGGAAACUUAUUCAAGCUCGCUGCAAGCACUGCAAUGAGGUAUUUUCUGCUGCACGAAAUUCAGGAAAUAGUCAUAUGCGUAGGCAUUUUGCGUUUGUGUGAACCAAGACUUAGAGUGCAUAACAUGGUUGAGAAAUUGCAGUCAUCAGCAUUUUCAACAGAGGCAGCUGCCCUAGCAAAUUGGAAAUUUGAUCGUAAAAUCACUCGUUGUGAACUUGUCCAGAGCUUGGUUCUCUUGAAAUGGGUAAUGAAAGGUUGCUAGCUGUUCCAGUAAACCUUUAUUUUCAGGGCACCGAGGUCGUACCAAGAAAUGCAAGAUCGCACUCCUGCUUGCUUUCUGGCGUGUUCCAGUUCAGUGUGUGAUGUGUGUUCAGUAUGGACAGGAGAAUUGAGGGCGUGUUGUAAUAAUGUGUUCGCAUGGUGAGGAGAGCGUGAGUGAUUGGUAUGUACAUUAAUGACAGAGGAGGUUAAGGGUAGGAAUUGUUUGAUCACAGUGUCUAUCCGUUCUGGGCCUUUUACUUGCUUGUCCAUAAGUGCUUAAUUCUGUGUGGAAUUAAACAAAUGUACAAUA